GCUGGCAUAAGAGAUCAGGCAUAUGUACAUCUCUGGGGUGUGUGUGUGUGUGUGUGUGUGUGUGUGUAUAUAUAUAUAUAUACACACACACAUACAUACA
rnacentral:miRNA from 1 species